rnacentral:rRNA from 1 species
GACGAACGCUGGCGGCGUGCUUAACACAUGCAAGUCGAACGGAAACGCCCUUCUUUUUUGUUCUUCUCGAUUGCCUAUCGUGUUAGUAACACGUGAUUAACCUGCCCUUUACUUUGGUAUAACUUCAGGUAACUGGGGCUAAUCCCGUAUCGCAUCUCCUGCUGCAUUGUGGGGUUUGGAUCUUUUCGGCGGUUGGGGAUGGACUCGCGGCUUAUCAGCUUGUUGGUUGGGUAGUGGCUUACCAAGGCUUUGACGGGUAGCCGGCAUGAGAGGGUGACCGGAGACAUGGGGACUGAGAUACGGAGCAGAAUGCUACGGGAGGCAGCAGUGGGGAAUAUUGCACAAUGGGAGGAAGUCUGAUGAAGAAACGCCGCGUGCGGGAUGACGGCCUUCGGGUUGUAAAAAGCAUUAGGAUGUGACGAAGCGUGAGUGACGGUAAUGGGUAAAGAAGCACCGGCUAACUACGUG